GGGAGGCUUUAAUAAUAAAUCUAAAGGCGUUUCAGGGGCGCUUUAAGAUGGAGCUGUGGAGGAGAUGAAGGAAGGGACCAGGACUUUUAAGAAUACUCACCCAGUUUAAAGUGGGGUUUGUGUAAGUGGGAGGACAAAGAGGAGGGUGAGGAGUAUGAGGAGAGGGGCCUUGCCUUAAACACAAGGCUUAUCCACUCACAGUCACGCACAGACACAGAUGGCAAAAAAAACCCCAAGUUCUAUGGCUGCCUGGAGAGAGUGGGGGCAACACAGUAGACGAGGCAAGGUCAGUGUUGGUGCCAAGCCCUCUAAAAAGAAAGGAGGAGGAGAGGAGGAAAGGGUGUCGGUGGGUGGCUGUCCUGGGCAGACAGGUUUGAGCCUGUGAGCCAUGACAGCCACAGUCAUCAUGGGUCUCUGAAAAGCUGCCAUUUCUACUUCCCUUAGGGCUUUCCUGGUAUUCUCAGGAAACCAGAAAACUAAAAUUUACUGAUUAAUCCCAUGUCAAAAAGAUAUUUUGGACAGUAGAACAUGUAACUGUAAUUAGUAAACAAAACAACAAAAUAAAUGGCAAUCAGGUGUGUGGCUACAUGAAUAACAACUAUGGAUCAAAUGCCUGUGGGCCUUAGCUACCUUUCCUGGAAUUGCUAAAUGUACAAAGCUAAACCUGUGUACAGCCUUAAAGCAAGGACUGCUGGAAGGUGCCAGGAUCAUUUCAUUGUGCUGCACAGUAUUUUAUUUCACUGGUCCAAAGCCCUACUAGCUUAAUGAACAAUCAGAAAAUGCUGUCCAUGUGUCUUUGGCUGUAUUGGGCUGUGGAAAUUAAUUUGCAGAGGAACGACUGCUAAUCUGGACCCACCCGCCCUGGAUGGGACUUAGAGAACACCUGCUUUAGCUGUAAUUUAGAGCUGAGGAGCUGACAGGGAGGAAAGAGGACUUGCUGCAUGCCACGAAAUAAGUGUCAGCAUGCCCUUACGUUUUCAGACGACACGUCAGUCACUUUCUGCCACUGUGCCUAAACCCUGAGCUAAUUGGUUUAUAAAAAGAAAAGGCGUGGGUUGGGGGCAUAGCUGAGCAGUGGACACUUCCCCAGCGUACAGGAAGCCCCAGGCUUAGUCCCGAGCACUGCAGUUAGGAACUGGUAAAGGUCAUUGGGGCUCAUAGUUCUUGUUUGUUUGAGACAGGUAGCCUUGCCUGGCCGGAAACUCACUAUCUAGAUGAAGCUAGCUUUGAACUCAUAAAGAUCCACUUGCCUCUGCUUCUUGAGCACUGGGCUUAAAGGUAUGUGCCACACACCACAUCUCUUUAAGGUCUUCAUUCAGUUGGCCCUAUUGGUUUGGGCCUGUGGCAGGGCAGUGUGGCAAGAUGGGAGUAUGUGGCUGGGAAAAUGAUUUAUCCUAGACUAAGGAGCAAAGAGAAGAUGAGGAAGGCGCUAGAGUUCUACUUCCUCCUCGGGUGUAACUCUCUGUGUCCUGAAGCCACCUCACUAGAUCCUCUCCUGGAUGGUUCCAAUUCUUCGUGAGAAUGUCACUGGGCACCAGGCCUCAACACAAGGGACUCUGCAGAACGCUUUGGAUCUAAAUCCCAGCGGAUGGGAUGUGGAGGGAAGGCUCGAGAGCACCUCGGAGAAAAGGGCACCUUAGUGGGAAGCUGUGGGGAGCAAGCUUGGAGAUAAACCAUGACCUUUCAGCAGCAGCGGGCCCCGCCCCCGUUAUCAGCUCCCGGAGAAGCCCGCACUUGUGCCAAGCCUUAGAUUUCUCAUUUGUGAAGAAAGAAAGGUUGGAUGGGGUCUUUUCAUUAUAAAGUUUUUAGUAUGCUACGGUUUAGGUUUUUUCAAAGGACGGUUAUUUUCAAGGUGAUGAGCUAGGAGAUAGGAUGGUAAGGGAAAAUAGGAACCUGCCUUCCCUUUUUAAAGACAGACAAACCUGUUGGCAGGCUUCCAUGGGAGGUGCACGCCGUUUCCCUCAGCCCGCCCACUACUUCUACGUAUAAUGUGUUAUGAUUCUGUUUUGUUCUGAUGCUCAUUUGUUUCUAGUGAGCAUUAAGGUUCUUGUUCUAGGAACAGCUCUGCCCUGGGGUAUCUCUGCCACUGUUUCUCACACUGUCUCUUUCUGUGUUACACGUCUCUGUGCUGUGUUCCAUAUUUGUGGACCUGCAAUCUCUCCACCUUAGGGAGCAUUGGUCUCUUUGAUACCAGCUCAGGGCUGCUGCUCUUUCAGGACACAUGCAUCUCAGUGCCUCUGUAUUCUCUUCCUCCCUUCCCCUGUGUGUGCCCAGACACAUCCUGGUCACAGCAUCCGUAACACAGCCCUCUGUAUAUAUUUCUUUCUCCCUAUGAACAUUGUCCUACCCAGGGUGCAGAUCCUUUCUUAUUCUCCCUCCCCACU
rnacentral:lncRNA from 1 species